GGCAAGGUGGCCGAGCGGUCUAAGGCGCCACGUUAAGGAAUCAUCCUUAAUACAACUCGCAGAGUUCCGUGGUCUCGAAAGGGGCGUGAGUUCGAAUCUCACCCUUGUCA